rnacentral:rRNA from 1 species
UACGUAGGGUGCAAGCGUUGUCCGGAAUUAUUGGGCGUAAAGAGCUCGUAGGCGGUCUGUCGCGUCGGCUGUGAAAACUCGGGGCUCAACCCCGAGCCUGCAGUCGAUACGGGCAGACUAGAGUGCUGUAGGGGAGACUGGAAUUCCUGGUGUAGCGGUGAAAUGCGCAGAUAUCAGGAGGAACACCGAUGGCGAAGGCAGGUCUCUGGGCCACUACUGACGCUGAGAAGCGAAAGCAUGGGGAGCGAACAGG